GAUGAGAACGCAGCGAAAUGCGAUAAGUAAUGUGAAUUGCAGAAUUCAGUGAAUCAUCGAAUCUUUGAACGCACAUUGCGCCCGUCAGUAUUCUGGCGGGCAUGCCUGUUCGAGCGUCAUUACGCCCCUCAAGUCCCCUGUGGACUUGGUGUUGGGGAUCGGCGAGGCUGGUUUUCCAGCACAGCCGUCCCUUAAAUUAAUUGGCGGUCUCGCCGUGGCCCUCCUCUGCGCAGUAGUAAAACACUCGCAACAGGAGCCCGGCGCGGUCCACUGCCGUAAAACCCCCCAACUGUUUAUAGUUGACCUCGAAUCAGGUAGGACUACCCGCUGAACUUAAGCAUAUCAAUAAGCGGAGGA
rnacentral:misc_RNA from 1 species